GACGAACGCUGGCGGCGUGCUUAACACAUGCAAGUCGAACGGAAAGGCCCCCAUCUUGGUGGGGGUGCUCGAGUGGCGAACGGGUGAGUAACACGUGGGUGAUCUGCCCUGUACUUCGGGAUAAGCUUGGGAAACUGGGUCUAAUACCGGAUAGGACCAUGGUUUAGUGUCUCAUGGUGGAAAGAUUAUUGUUUUGGUGCAGGAUGAGCUCGCGGCCUAUCAGCUUGUUGGUGGGGUAAUGGCCUACCAAGGCGUCGACGGGUAGCCGGCCUGAGAGGGUGGACGGCCACAUUGGGACUGAGAUACGGCCCAGACUCCUACGGGAGGCAGCAGUGGGGAAUAUUGCACAAUGGGCGCAAGCCUGAUGCAGCGACGCCGCAUGGGGGAUGACGGCCUUCGGGUUGUAAACUCCUUUCGUUAGGGACGAAGCCGCACUUUUUUUGGGUGUGGUGACGGUACCUUUGUUAAGAAGCACCGGCUAACUACGUG
rnacentral:rRNA from 1 species